UGGUUGGGGGGGAAGGGGAGGGGGGAAGCUUAGGCAUAGCGGAGCUCCCCCAGUCAGCAGGGUAGGUAGGCAGCAUAGCUGUGGCCUCUUUCUGACUUGCUCCCUUUUGGCUGAGGCCAGAGUGGGUGGGAGACACUGAGCAGAGCAGGUAGAAGGAAAUUGUGGGGAGGAGGAGGCCAUGGAGCUCAUCUUCCUCACUGGGUUGGCCUUCUGUCUGAUGGGCCUUUCUGGGGAGGCCAGGUUGACCGUGAGACAGCUGACCAAGGAAGAGCCGGGGAGGAGUGGGCCAACCAGAGAACCCCUGCAGCUAGCAUUGGAGCAGCCUGACUUGGGUUCCCGUGAAGGGAUGGUGAAGCCCAUGCUGAAGCAAAAGCACGGAGUGAAGGCUGUGGAUGAAGAGACAGUGGCACCAGGACCUGGCUACCUGAGGGCCAAGAAAACUCCUAAGGUGGGCACUCACAGCCAUGUAGACCUCAGCCAGGCCCAGAGGUCAAGUGGCAAAUCACCCUCUAGGAAUCACAACAAGGGGCCCUCUCGACGCAAGAUCCAUACUGUAAGGUUCCAGGAGCAAGAGGCCAAGCCAAUCUAUCUGAAGAUCGAGAUGGGAAGGAGAAAGGAAGGGAAGAUAGAGGCCUUACCACCAGCCAUUAGCCAAUCCAGGAAAAGCAAGACACUGCCUCAGGAGGUGACUAGCCCCAAGGAAGAGAGGAGGAGCAGGAAGGUAGAAGGUGGUGACUCCAAAAAAGUCAAUCUCAAGAGACAAGAAAUAAAGAAGACCAUCCAAGCCAUCACCUGGCGAUUACAACUGAAGGCAGAAGGCCAGAACAACAGUGACCUGGACAGGAACUGGAAGGACUCAAGGCCUAGCCGUGGUGACGCUCCUCUCCUCCAUCUGCCCAUUAUCUUUCCAUCUCUGGGUCCUCCUGAGGAGAUUAUGCCAUCCCUCCUGGCCACAUGCCACUUGUCUAAGGCCACCAUCUCCUGUGGAAAUGUCAAGAUGAAGGUGAUUCCACCUCUCAAUGACCCAGGCCUGAAAACCCUCUACCUGGCAGAGAAUGAAAUUUCCAAAAUCCCAGCUGAGACCUUCAAAGGCGUGCCUAACCUGGAGUUGCUAGAUCUGAGCAAGAACAAGCUGGA
rnacentral:lncRNA from 1 species